rnacentral:rRNA from 1 species
GACGAACGCUGGCGGCGUGCUUAACACAUGCAAGUCGAGCGGUAAGGCCCUUUUGGGGGUACACGAGCGGCGAACGGGUGAGCAACACGUGGGUGACCUGCCCUCAGCUCUGGGAUAAGCCUGGGAAACUGGGUCUAAUACUGGAUAUGACUCCACGGUGCAUGUCGUGGGGUGGAAAGCCUUGUGCGGCUGAGGAUGGGCCCGCGGCCUAUCAGCUUGUUGGUGGGGUGAUGGCCUACCAAGGCGACGACGGGUAGCCGGCCUGAGAGGGCGACCGGCCACACUGGGACUGAGACACGGCCCAGACUCCUACGGGAGGCAGCAGUGGGGAAUCUUGCGCAAUGGGCGAAAGCCUGACGCAGCGACGCUGCGUGAGGGAUGACGGCCUGG